rnacentral:rRNA from 1 species
AACCUCCGCAAUGUGAGAAAUCGCGACGGGGGGAUCCCAAGUGCCAUUCUUAACGGGAUGGCUUUUCAUUAGUGUAAAGAGCUUUUGGAAUAAGGGCUGGGCAAGACCGGUGCCAGCCGCCGCGGUAACACCGGCAGCUCUAGUGGUAGCAGUUUUUAUUGGGCCUAAAGCGUCCGUAGCCGGUUUAAUAAGUCUCUGGUGAAAUCCUGUAGCUUAACUGUGGGAAUUGCUGGAGAUACUAUUAGACUUGAGACCGGGAGAGGUUAGAGGUACUCCCAGGGUAGAGGUGAAAUUCUGUAAUCCUGGGAGGACCGCCUGUUGCGAAGGCGUCUAACUGGAACGGUUCUGACGGUGAGGGACGAAAGUUAGGGGCGCGAACCGGAUUAGAUACCCGGGUAGUCCUAACUGUAAACGAUGCGGACUUGGUGUUGGGGUGGCUUUGAGCUGCUCCAGUGCCGAAGGGAAGCUGUUAAGUCCGCCGCCUGGGAAGUACGGUCGCAAGACUGAAACUUAAAGGAAUU